rnacentral:rRNA from 1 species
AUUGAACGCUGGCGGCAGGCCUAACACAUGCAAGUCGAGCGGAGCGGCGGACGGGUGAGUAAUGCCUAGGAAUCUGCCUGGUAGUGGGGGAUAACGUCCGGAAACGGGCGCUAAUACCGCAUACUAUCAGAUGAGCCUAGGUCGGCUUAGCGAGUUGGUGGGGUAAAGGCGUACCAAGGCGACGAUCCGUAACUGGUCUGAGAGGAUGAUCAAUCACACUGGAACUGAGACACGGGCAAGACUCCUACGGGAGGCAGCAGAGGGGAAUAUUGGACAAAGGGCGGAAGCCUGAUACAGAGAUGCCGCGUGUGUGAAAAAGGAAUUCGGAUUGGAAAGAACUUUAAGUUGGGAGGCGUUACCAACAGAAUAAACACCGGCUAACUUCGUGCCAGCAGCCGCGGUAAUAA